GCAAUUCCAGUGAUUGCAAGCUUUUGAUAAUGCAGCUAGGGUGAUUUCCAGGAAGGGCAACCUGUAUAAAUUGGAGAGGGUAAUGAUGUCAUGGAUGCUUGAUAGGAUAUAAUUGUUGCGCACGUAUUUUGUGUUGUAGUGUGCUGAUGGUAGGUUUGUGAAUGACUGGCUAACCGAUCGUAGUGGGACAAUCUUACUCCCCAUGAUGCAAAAACUGUUUUAUUGCAAGGAAUCCCUCAAACUGCAGCUCCAUAAGAUGUAGAACGGUUUUUGUCUGGUUGUAAAUAUGAUUCAUCUUCCCUCCAGAUAAUUUUCAGGUAAGCUGAAUGGCUUGCGAAUGAAACAUGCUUAUAUAUAUAGGGGGCGGAUGUGUGGCACCAUAUUACACAUAUACUAAAACUCAACAUCAAAUUACUGUUCAUGAACAGUAAACGGACGAAAAUGCCCUCCAAUUCAUUUGUUAUCUGUCUUUUUUUCGUUUUUUUAACAGUAAAAAGACGACUUUGCCUUUCAUCUCCACCUGUCGAUCACUCCUCAGCUUCUGUCAUUUUCAAUGGCAUAAAUGCCCUCUGUUUCUUCUCCAUUAUGCCGUUUGUCCACGCGUUGCUCAUCGCUCCGCAUUGACUGCUUCUCGACCUUUCUUCUCUACUUUUCCCUCCGUUCCACUUUUCUCUGUCACAAUUCCCUACUUCUGUCGCUCUUGAACCUCGAAUCCUUUAGCUCUCCAAAGCUACCUUCUCUCCCUCUCCAACCUUGCUAUCUUUGUCUAAAAAAUUACCAACCACACUUUCUUGCUAAAAAACCUUCACUGCUUUCUCUGUUGCUAGAGGUUGCUUUCUCUUCUACUCCCGCAGGGCUUUCAAUUCUCAAUUAGAAUCUAGAGGUAAAAGCCCAGAAAGCUAAUAUGGCAAAGCAAGAGCUUUCCAGCACUCUCAGGAACUUAAAAGGUAAAAAGAAACGAUGAAAUUUCAAUUUUUUUGGUUUUUUAUUUAUUUUCAGUGUUAAUUUCUGAUUAAAUUAUUAUUUUUGAUAAACCCUCUUAGAAUCUAAUCUAGGUUUUGCUUAAAUUCAUCUUGGUGUUGUUUAAUUUUGGGUUGUAUAAUUUUCUGGUGGACCUGUAAUUGUAUUUACAGAUUAAUAUAACGUAAUUGGGUUAUUCUUUUAAUUACUGUGGUUUAUGCAAAGAGCAACUUAGAAAGAGGUGAAGAAAGAAGAAGAUGUCAAACCAUGCCUUAUCACCUCAGUUGAUGCAGGUUUCCUUUCUAUGAACCCAAUUUUGGAUGGGGAAAGCCACCAUGGGUGACUUUGGGUACGGAGUUCAAGAAUCUAAUUGUGUUAAUGGAUACACGAGAUGGAGAUGGCAUAGAAGUAUCCUUGAAUCUCAAGGAAGAAGACCUGGCCAUAUUUGAAAGCAAUAGGGAGCUGCUUGAGUGUGUGCUAAAUUGGAUGUUGGUUUGGUUGUUUCCAAUCUUUCCCCACGACUUUCGAUACCCAAUAGAGAAUAUGAAAAACCUAACUUUAAUUUUGUAAAUUUUUUGUCCUAAAUGAAGGUAACAUGGGAAUUUGUUCUGAAUGAUGUUCAAAGAACUUCAAACUCAACUUUGUCCUGAAUGAUGUUCUGUUCUCUGGAUGUCUGAUAUCAAUUUUUUAUUUGCUCAGAGUCAUCUGAUUUACAUCGUUUGCUAGGGUGAUAAUGUGCCUCCACCAUUCAAUUCAUUUGAAUCUACUGGCCUCCCAUCUGAGAUUCAGAGGUUUUGAGCUUCCACAAAUUCCAAGGCGUUCAAACUUUAUACUCUUGAAUGAAAUGGAUCAAUUUGUUUGCAGCUUGAAGAUUACUGCUUUCACCAAGUUUAUCUCCAACUCCAGGCUUUGAGAUACAAUGUUGUUUUAGGCUGUCAUCUAGAUUCUCAAUCACAUGUUUCCACGGCGGUUUCAAAGAGGUCCUUGAGACGAUCAGAUGCUAUACUGAGCAACCACCAUUAUAAUAAGGUAAGACCGAGCGUCGUUCUCUUGGUCACUAGAUGCCUUGAGAAUUUAUAGUCACUCACCCAACUUGGGAUUUGAGUAAUCAUGAAUAACUCGAUUUCGUGUUACCAUGUGAUGUGCUGGUGAGAGGACUUUGGUAUGGGAGGGAGGACUAGAGAGAGACGUUUAGAUUUGAGAAAGGCAAUUGGUAUUGAAAAUUGAGAUGCCUAUAUACCAUGGCAGGGUCGGUUCCAGCUUUUUCUCUUCCUUGGUAAUUACUAUAAAUACAAUUGGAUGGUGCGUACAAAUUACUAAAACUUCAAGAAAAAACAAAACAGACCCAGAUACCAAUUCACUUCAGUCCCCAAACAUCUCGAUCCGUUUCAGCCUUUUCUCUUCCUUGCAUGGAGAGCUGUACAAGGCACUUUCUGCAAUUUAUUGCAAAAUAAUGUCAGUUUUUUCUUUGGAUACAACUCAAACUAGGAGCAAGUCUGGUAGCCAAGCUUUACGUUCGUUGCAUGUAGCACAUGAAAAGUCUAAGAAUGUAGUAAGCUUUAUUUUGCAGGUCUUUCCCAGAACCCUCUAAAUUUGCAACUGUUUGCUUUCCGUCUCAAACCGAGGCAAUGAAUGCAUUCCUUGCGAAGAACAAAGGCUUCUGUCAGAAUCGUCAAAUUUUGAUGCGCGUUCUCCAGUAAUCCUGUUUUGUUGGUUCCCUUUGUCAGAAGAAUUGCUAUGAGACAUGAUGAAAUGAGAAUAGGAUUAUGUAGUAUCAUGUCGUUAUUCGGCACUGUAGGAAUUUGCAUGGCAUACGAUGUCUUUUUAUGAGGCCGUGUUUUUAUUUACUUGAUUCAACUCAGGAGUAGAAAUGUGUUCAUUCCUCGUGCAGGAAUGGGUAUUCCAUUCUUUCGUUUAAUCCCAAGUCCUUUUGCUAAUAAUUACAAGCA